UACUGAGCGGCGGACGGGUGGGUAACGCGUGGGUAACCGUGCCUCGUACAGGGGGAUAACAGUUGGAAACGGCUGCUAAUACCGCAUAAGCGCACAGUACCGCAUGGUACGGUGUGAAAAACUCCGGUGGUAUGAGAUGGACCCGCGUCUGAUUAGGUAGUUGGUGGGGUAACGGCCUACCAAGCCGACGAUCAGUAGCCGACCUGAGAGGGUGACCGGCCACAUUGGGACUGAGACACGGCCCAA
rnacentral:rRNA from 1 species